ensembl:lncRNA
CUUGAGCUAUCAGAUCAGCUGGCUCUGCCCUGCUCUGGUUGGUAAUACUUGAUUUUGUCUUCUGCUGGAACUCAAACCUUUGGUUUGGUUUCUGACUGAUCAGUUAGUGUCACAGAUACUGGUUUGUAUUUUCACUGCAGUAAAUCUGUCCCAUCACUGCCGUGGCUUUGCAGUUAUGGUGGAGGCAAUCGUGGAAUUUGAAGAUCUUUGAAUUUCCUAAAUGUGCUCAAUGUUUGUGUUUGCCUCCCAGUGUCCAAGAUAUUAUUCCAUGGGAAGAUCAUCUUCAAUAUGAUCUCCUGGAUGAUGGUUUGAGUCUCCCACAGAGAGAUGUGGUUGUCCUGCUUCUCCAUGGCCUGGCCCAUCACUGACUCUGCAUUCUGAAGGUCUCUGGCUUGCUUGGAGCUGCCAAACUUUGGGUUCAGAUCUGGAAUUAGAUGGUUUUUAUUGAUGUCACUUGAAAAUCUGAUUGUCAACAUCAUGAAAACAGUGCUAGGAAAAGCCACAAAAUAUUGCACAAGACCCAGAAGGACUGAAAGUUGGAGGAUUUCUUUCAGGGGAUAUAUUGUUUUCACUGGUUUAUCAGACAGACCAUCACUUCCUGCAUCCCAGGGUUAUAAGGACAAGUUCAACUUGCAUCAUCCUUCUCCAUUUCCUCAGCUGGCAUUCAACUUCCAGUUGGAUGCAUCAUGUUUCCCAUUUCCUGGCAUCCCAAUAAAGUCUGGAUGAAUGAUGAGAGAGUCUGCUGGGAGAGUGAGUAAACAUCUCCUACUGUCUGGAAUGCAAGACGACUACUGUCUUAUCCUUUGGUACAGGUUGUUAAGAUAAAAUUACCCUAUAUAUCAACAGCACUGUCAAUGAAAUUAGAAAGGGCAUUCUACCUCCACACUGCCCCCGAGGGUUUGAGGAGGGAGGAGGGAAGGCAGUUGUUUCUUUGUUUAUUUGGUUUAUUCUUUUGCAGUGAAAGAAAGGAAGAAAAGGGGUUUGUUUUGGGUUGAGGAGGGAGAAGCUUUGUUUUGCUUCUUUUUAAUGCAAAUGAAAAAAAGAGGAGGAAAGCCAAGGAGAAUGUGCGAGGCAAGUUUGGGUACUUCACUGACUGUGCAAGCAGGAGAGGGAAAAAUUAUGGAUUGAUGAGCAAUGCCCCAGGACAACUGAAUGCAGUGGCAGCAAAGUUUGGGUGCAAGGAGAUCCUGGAGCUGCAGGUGGUGGCUCCAAGCAGGGCAGGGUCCCCAAGACAAGGACACCCCAGGCUUCUGUCCCCAUCCAGUGUGUGCUCUGAGCAAGGGCUGCUGCAAAAUGCUGCAGUUUGGGGAGAACCCUCUUGUACAUCCCUAUAAUCCACUGACCUGUCUGGGGUGUCUUUUAUCAAAUCUUGUUGCUGUUAGUUUUCCUGGGCUUUAGAGAGAUCUACUUCUGGAUUUUCUGGGAAUGUGAGACUCAUGAGUGUGCACUGGAUUGCCAAAAUACUAGAAAACACUGCAUAUGAUCUCUCUGUACUCAGAGAAAUCCAGUUCUUCUUGCAAUUAGGCUGUAUCACAAAAAUAAUUACCUGGUUUACAUUUGUUAUAUUAAUUGUGUCUUCAGCUGUCACUGCCCUUGAACCCCAGAGCCAUGAGAGUGGGAUCCAAAACUUAAACCCCAUUGCCUCUUUUCGACAAAAAAAAAUUGAUUCUCUGUUCCAGACACCUCUCCCAGAUGAUCCCUAAGCUGCUGGGCUGUGAUGGAGCUC